rnacentral:rRNA from 1 species
UACGUAGGGAGCGAGCGUUGUCCGGAUUUAUUGGGCGUAAAGAGCUCGUAGGCGGUUUGGUAAGUCGGGUGUGAAAGCUCCGGGCUCAACUCGGAGAGGUCACUCGAUACUGCCAUGACUGGAGUCCGGUAGGGGGGUGUGGAAUUCCCAGUGUAGCGGUGAAAUGCGCAGAUAUUGGGAGGAACACCAAUGGCGAAGGCAGCACCCUGGGCCGGUACUGACGCUGAGGAGCGAAAGCGUGGGGAGCAAACAGGAUUAGAUACCCUGGUAGUCCACGCCGUAAACGUUGGGCACUAGGUGUGGGUCUCUAUCAACGGGAUCCGUGCCGUAGCUAACGCAUUAAGUGCCCCGCCUGGGGAGUACGGCCGCAAGGCUAAA